AUGGGAAUUCUCCUGCCCCAAAGCUCCCUCCCAGCAGCAGGGUCGGGAGGUUUCCCUGGGGCAGGGAAAAGGGCGAGCUCACAAAGCCAAAGGUGUGGGAGCUCCAGGAUCCUUUGGGCAGGAGGGGGGCCAGGGCUUGGUGGGGCAGGGAGACCCCGAUCCCAACCCCACUCUCGGCUGAGGGCUGGGAGGAGAUGCAGCACUGGGAGAUAUCCACAGAAAUCAGUUUAUUUCCCUGCCGUCGGGAUUAUGAAACCACAGAAGCAGAGUUUAAAUAUUUACAAAGAAAUCCAGCGCCCCGCAGAGAUGAAGGGAACAAAGGAUGAGGGAUGGGGGCUCGCCCUCGCCAUUCCAAACUCCGCUCUGGUAAAAAGCGUCGGGAGCAAACGAGAGGGACCUUCACAGUGGGGAUUUGGAACUCCAGGGGCCCCCCGACACCCCCAAGUCUCAGCUUUGGCAAUUCUCGCAGAGCUCGUGGAUAAAACACAGACGGGAGGGCUCGGGGUUAUUGCUGAGGGUGGCUCCGGCCCCGGGGCCGGCACUCCAAGGAAUCGCUCUGAAAUCAGCACAAGGGAAAGCUCUGCCCUCUCCCAGCCCUGGGCAGCGCUCCCUGAACGCUCCGUGCUUUCAUCCCCAUUCUCUCUGAUCGGGAUUUCAGUGCCCCAGCGCCUCCAUCCCUGCUCUGAGCACGGGAGGGGAAGGGAGGGACUGCACAGAGCAGCUCCAGGCUGGGGGGCAAGGCCACGACGCGGUGACACAGGGACAGUAAUGAGCAGCAGGUGUGAGGGGUGGUUUAAAAGUGACCAAGGAAAAAGGAAAAGCACAGAAACGAGCUUGAGGAGGCUCCAACCCUCCCACAAGGCUGGAGGAGUAGGGGAACAGCACAUGGGGAGGGGUCUGAGAACCAGUGGGCUGACAGCAAGUGAGUGGGCUCUGCAGUCAGAGGAAGCUGCAGCCAUGGCAGGGACCCCAGGAAAGCUUUCCUGCUGGCCACAAGCACUCCCUGAAAUGCAUUCCUUAGAACCCUCAGGUACUGGGUAA
rnacentral:lncRNA from 1 species